GGGUAAAUUGUUAAGAUUUAAAACUUACUCAUAUUACCUUUCACGAUGGGGCUUGCAACCGUCACUUGUGUCCUAAGCAGUUAAAAGAUAGAACGGUCAAGUCAAGCGCCAUGUCUCUUAUUCUUGAUCAGCUAUAGCUCUGGAGUUUUUGCAGAUUUUCAAAUAAAACUCAGAGAUUCCUUGUAUGACUCUCUCAUAUCUCGCUUUUGUGGUAUUUCUGGAUCCUUACCAAGGCAGUGAUGGUAUAUGCCUUCUCUCAAAAAGUAUGUGGUAUAUGUGGUAUAAGGCAUUGUGACAUUACCUUCUCUCUCACCCUACUCUAAAAAGGUUUUGAUAUCUGGAGCUCAUAGGUGGGAGACAGCUAAUACAUACUUACAAGACAUUUAUUGCAUAGUCAAACCAUGGAUCCAGAGAAACUAGUCAAUAAGUCAAAUCAAGAUAUGCAUGUGUGGCGGAUGAAUGGUGUAUGGUGAUGAUGGUGAUAACAAUGGUGAAAGUCUAAUUCUACUUUUGCUCUUUUUAGGGGAUACAUACCUUUCUUGCACUUUGAAGCUUUUUGAGGAGAAUGAGAUGCUCUAUAUUUUCUUUUUCUUUCCUCUCAGGUGGGUAUCUUGUACCCCUAAUUCUACUAUCGGACACUUGUCCAUUUUUACCUCUCGCCUCACUUUUUCUUUUCUUCGAGGUUCCGGGCACUUGCCCCUUUUUAUUUCCUCGUAUUAUUAUUAUAUUUUUUUUUCUCUUUUCUUCUUUUUUUAGAGCACUCAUCUCCUAAAAGAAUGUAGCAAGUGGUAGUAACCAAAAUAACUAGAGCAUUUAUUUCACAGGAAAAAACAGAAAUAUUUUUGGCCAUUCUUUCCCGGAUUAGGAGUAGAAUGUUUUUGGGUGGUUCUAGAGAUGGAAAUGAGUGGAUAUAUGUGGAUGGUACUUCCGGAGUAGAAGUACCAUGUAUGAGUGAACGUGCAAGUGAAUCUUGAUUUUAACCACAUGACAAGCUCCUAAGGGUAUACACAGCUUGACCACACUCAAUGCUCAUAAGCAGUAAAAAAUAAAUGUGUGGCUCAAAGUCUAAUAAGCAUGUAUAUAUGGUUGUGAUAGGAUUUUAAACUCUCAUCAUACAGGAACUCAUCAUGUGUUAUUUUAAAGAUUUUCAAAGAUAAAAUUCUCCAUAAUUCUAGCAUCUCUAGAAACAGAUAAACAGCAGCUCAACCUUCCCAUAUCAUAUCCGUUAACAACUUAGACUUUAGAUCAAGUACUCUCCCCACAAGUUCAGGUUUAGAGCAAAUCUUACUUCAUAACAGUCAUACCUAAACUUGAGAGAUAUUUCAAUUUUAAGAACUAGUCAUGGCAGAGCAACUAUUCAUCAUUUCCAUGUGAGAGUUUAUCAUGAGGGUUCAUAGCAAACUUUAUUUAUUUAGCAAACUAAGAAAAGAUAUAUAUAUAUAAAAGCACAAAAUCUUUAUUUGGGUUUUCAUGAUUAUGCAUCUUUUGUUAUUUGAGUAAAGUAUAAACGCGAAUAGAAACACUUAGUUGGAUAAAUGGGGGUGCUCUCCCCCAAGCUGGAUUUUGACGUAAUUUCUUCUGAUGUAGCUAGCAGGUGAUGGAGGUGUAUUUGAAUGUCGGCAGCACCCUGACAGCGAUUAGGAUGUCCUCCGUGUGCUAGUCUUCUUUGAUCCUUGAAUUCUGUGGAGCUCAAAUAGACAACAAAGCUUUGUGGAACUGGUUAAGUGUUAGCAUAAACAUCUAGCCUUUAUCAUGUUGAGCCUCCUUAAUAAAUGUUACUCUCUUUGGUAGGAUCACAAUCUUAUUUUUAUAUUUUCAUUUUUAUAGAGUAUUAAGAUCCAUAGCAAACUUUAUUUAUUUAUUUAUUCAUUUAUUUAUUUAUUUAGCAAACUAAGAAAAGUAUAUAUAUAUAUAUAAGCAUAAAAUCUUUAUUUGGUUUUUCAUAGUUUAUGUAUUUUAAUAUUCUAAUAUAAUAUAAGUAUAAAGAUAGGUAGAAAUACUUAGCGAGAUAAAUAGGGGUGCUCUCCCCCAAGCUGAAUUUUGACGUAAUUUCUCUUGAUGUAGCUAGCAGGUGGCAGAGGUGUAUUUGAAAGUCAGCAGCAUUCUGACAGCGAUUAGAAUGUCCUCCAUCUGCUAGUCUUCUUGAUUCUUAAAUUCUGUGGAGCUCAUAUAGACAACAAAGCUUGUGGAACUAAUUAAGUGUUGGCAUAAAUAUCUAGCCUUCAUCACGUUGAGCUUUCUCAAUAAAUAUUACUCCCUGUUUUUAUAUUUUGAUUUUAUAAAGUAGAAAAGAAAUAUUUAUUUUAUUUUUAUGCCACCACAGUGAAGGUACUUAUGGGUUUUAUGCCACUCGUAUACUCACAUGGAGCUUAGUAUUUUUUAACAUUUUUAUUUUCUUUUCAAGAUAGCAUGAUUAACUAAUAAUCUAUUUAAGGAAAGUAAAUAAUUAAAGGAAAAGGGAAUGCAGAAAGGAUAAAUAUGGAUAACUACCAAUCUUACCUUUCGGCGAGGGUUCAAUGUUUUAAGUCUUCUUGACAAGACUUCUCACUGUGUUCAUUCUUCAGGUGCGUCAUUUGAUUCAGGUGCGGACCUUGAUGUCUGCACCUUUUAAUACGGUGUCACCCAUGUUCUUCGUUUGCCCAGCAGUUCGAAGUGCGGUGUUAGCAGUAUCUUGCUCAGUGUGUUUGUGCUCGUAGUGUACCUGCUCAUAGAGACAAGGCAGAGAUCAAGUGCAUGGGCCCUGUUGGUGGAAAACACCAACAGAACCAAAAGUGUAUUUAUUCAUCUCUAUCCUUGAGCAUAGGGGGC
rnacentral:lncRNA from 1 species